CUCUCAGUGACAACACAAGGUUCCAGAGGCUGGAGAAACACCACAUGAACCAUUCCUGUCCUGGCUCCUCCUCACCAACCCCGUGAACUGUAUGGAGCCCUGAGAACCAAGCCAAGAUGUACAUGGAUAUGCUGAUAAACUGCCAUUUAGUCCAGAGGCUGGACAGAACUAGAUCACCAGUUAAAAUACCUUACUUCUAGUGAAGAUUUUUAUGGAAUGUGUUCUUGUCCCAAACUCCUCCUGGAAGUAAUGUACCCCGAGACCUGGCAGCCCUUCUGAGUGACCAUAUGGCCUCCUCAGCUCCUGCAGAACCGGAGCACGGUUCCUGAUGCUAAAGGUCUGACCUUAAAAUGAGCAGUGCACAGGGCAAGAAUGGGUACCGCAGUGAGCUUCUGGCCUUCAACCCUUCCAAACACAGCUAUUUUGGUAACCAGAACAAUAUAUUCAGGAUGGGUGAGGGAACAGAGCCUUCCAGUGAAGGAUUUCUUAGCACAUUAACGCUGUCAGUGCUGGAUGCUGUGUCUACUUAAGACCCUAAAUGCAGAUUUGCAGAAGUUUUGCAGCUUUCUGUAACUUCAUAACCACGCUUCAGUGACUGCUGCACCUGAAAAUGAGACCAUUCUUCCCAGGAAUUUCCACUGAUCUGGGGAGAACGGCAAUCACAUGCUGCUGUGAGCAGUUCUGCCUUGGAUUUCUUGUCUGCAGGAGAGGCACAGCCUGGUUUGCUACAAUGCAACUGUCCUCAUUAAUGUACUUCAAGCCCUGAUGUACUGGGACCACCGCCGUCGGCUGACACUUGCCUUCUAGUAAACAGACACGGAGAUGACCCUCCUCAUUUCGCACAGGUCACCAAACAGCCCCUGAGAUGGUAAGGGUUAUUGGCCAUUUACCAAACUCUGUUUGACUUGGGUUCAUGGGUGAGAGAUGAAAGGCACUAUAUUGCAUUACCAAUCCCUGGGGCCACCGGGUCUCCCUAAAGAAGCAUUUCAUUUAGCAAGGCAACUGCUGGCCCAUGGGAAUUGGAGAGUUAAGAAAAAGAGGAUGCAGUUUCGCUUGCAAAUACUUCCUUAGGGCAGAUGUCUUAAAGCCACAUGGAAACUCACUGCUUCAGUGUCGCAAUAGUUGCUCCAGGACACUUAAUGACCAGCAGAUUUUUCCUUUAAUUAAGCUCCCCUUCUUCCCACCAAAACAUCCAUUAGGUUACUCGUGGUGUUUCUGCCUCUGCCCUGUUCUGUUUUGCUCCCUCUCCCUGGGGGAGAUGCCCCAUACUUGGGACAUGCCCAACGCAGCAGGUAUGAGUUUUAAUAAGAACUUCAGUCUAGGCAGCACGUGUCCUCCCUGUCUCCCAGGUGAAACAAGCAGCCCUUCACUUAGAGAGCACUGUUGGAGGAGAGAAGCAUUCUCCUGAACUUCCCAAACAUUUUCAAUGUCCUAGAGCUGAGAUGCUGACUGAUUCUCUUGGCUAUAGCGGAGUGGUCCUUGCUAUCAGGGUAGUCCAAGUGCUGCCUUUUUACAGAUGAUGGAUGCAGUAUUUAAUGCUGCAAUGGUUACAGGAUGAGCAUAUGCUGCUCAGACAGACCAAGUAUCCAACCUGGGCCCAUCCUGAAUUUCUUAUGAUCUCAAAAUCCAAAUUCAUUAGCACUGCUCAAAAUCCUCUUUCACUUUCCUGCCUUGCUGUUUGUGAUGUGAACCACGAGAUGUUCAGAAGUUGCAUUUGUUGUUUGAUGGUUUUACAUGGGUGUAAUGGUGUAACAGUGCAUCUGCUGAGUCAACAGUUCUUUCUGUAUAUGUGUGUGUGUGUUUGUUUGUUUGUUUAUUUAAUACUCCAUUUCCAACAAGUCCUUGUUCCCCAGUUCCUGUUGACAACCAGGGAACAAGCACAAGUCAACGGAGAAAAUGUACAACUCGAAGUGCCAUCUUAAUUUCUGGUCGUGGUGUGACUGACUACGUGGUCUCAGUGAUGCUGUGCCAUCCCCUUUUCUGCUUUCAGGCUGGGGUCACAAGAUGGAUUUGGAGGAAGCAACUUUCUUGCAGAUAUGUGACUAGAAUAUGAAUACUGUCCCAAGGUUUAUUCCUAAAUCUGUUGGAAACGAUGGAAAUGAUCCUAUUGACUCCAACAAAGUCUGCUUUCUGCUGGAUUAAGGAAUAUGUUUGUACAUCAGAUUUGCUGUCCCACUAACGAAAUGGGGAAUUUUAUAAACAUAUCAGGGAGGGUAAGUGCCCAAUAGAAAAGAUGUCAGAUAGAGAUCCUGAAAUUACAGUCUACUUGUAACAGAAAUAAAACAAGGAAAGCUUACUAACGAGUCAUGAAUUUCUUUAUAAUUGCUUCCACAUUUGGGGCAACUUUUUCCCAAAUAAUCUACAGAAACUCUGCAAUUCAUGGGAUUUUUGAUUGUGCUUAUGAUGAGAACAAUGCAUCUCAUAUGAUAAAAAAUACGUACAUUGGGAAAGAUUUUUUGCUCCUCAAAUUACUUCUCUGAGGCUUUAUUUCAAUCUCCAGCUAUUUUCUUAUCCUCCUCCUCAUUUUCUAUUUCUAAUAUAAAUCCAGGAGUUCUUAUCAAUUUAGAAGAAAAGUAAAACUAAAAAAAAUUCAAGCAUGGUCUAUUUUUUAAGUUCUAACUCAGAUAAUAAGAAUCUGUUUUGUGCUGUACUUCUCUCAUGAACUUAGUUUUCCAUAGUGCAUUCAGUGUUGUAAUAAUGCAAAUCAAAUACAAUUUUAAUAACUCCUUCCAUUAAAAUGAUCUAUUAAUGUUUUAAGACUCCAACACUUAUGAGCAUGAUUCUAAUUGCAUGAUUUUGCUGCGGGCAGGUUUUAUAGAUCUGCCUGAUCUUUGGAUAUUUGCACCGUUAGGAUUAUCUUAAAUAAAUUAAUUUUUGGAAGAGUUUCAGUCUCAGUAACAACAGCUGAGCUUGAUAGCAGUUGUCUUGUGGGUAAUCAUACGUAUCUGCUUCCAAGCAAGGGCAAAGUAGAUAAAUUUAUAACUUUGAAAGGAGAUGGCUGAGGUUUAUACAAUGACAAAUGUUACGAAGAACAUUCUGAAGAGGAAAAUAUCUAUUUGCUACGUUAGUACAAGGAGGAAAAGAGGUUUAAAUUGAACAAAGCUUUAUAUUUGUUAUGCAGCAUGAUUAAAUGGUGGGACUUUCUGCCACAGAAUACCAAAAAUAUAAUCAGAUUAAAAAAGGGCUAAAAAUUCACUGAAGACAGUUCCUUUCAUACCAUUAAACACUCUUGUUUUAUGCAACUUCUACUGUCAGUCUCUGUAACCCACUGAGUGAUAGGAACAAGGAAGACACAUCAGCAGAAGAAUUAGUUUGUGUUUGGCUUCUGACUUUUUUCUGUAUAUCUGCUAGAUGUUUCUGCCACAGGCAGGGUAAGAGGCUAGGUGGAUCUUUGGUCUAACACAGCUACUUCUAGGCAAGACACAGCUUCCUCCUGUCUCCAGAAACCUGUAAAAAACCUCAGGUUUUCUUGUCAUUCUGCAGAGUGGGAUGAGGAAAACGAACAGGAUGGGCCUUGGGAAGAAGGUAAGCAGGGCAGCAAGAGCUGUGAGGAAAGCAUUUGCUGAGUGGCUCAUGAGGGCCCUUACCUUGACAUGGUCCCCAGGUUUUAUCUCUAGUGGUAGGCUCUUGGCCACCGGCAUGCUGGCUCUCCUCCUCGUACGUGCUGUUCCUCCUCUUGAGCAUCACUUGAGAUCUACAGCAGAAGGUUCCUUUCUUCAAGAUGAACCAAAACAUCAAACAGUCUUGCACUCUUGAUUCAACAUUUCUUCUUGAGAGAAUUUACUCCAACUUUUGUUCAUGGCAAAUGCCUAUGUAAGCCUUGAACAAAUGAGCAUUAAGAAGUGGCAAUUUUCUUUGGGUGUUAGAGAAUUGCUAUUUACUGAAUGUUGUGAUUGUAUGCUGAGAAAUGAUUCCUUGGUCUGCAAAAAUGGCAUGUUCGUUAACGAAUAUGGUUUUAACCACUCCAGCAGUGUUAGUUCUUCUGCCUGUUUUGUAAAUUCUGUGUCUGGCAUGACAGAAAAGAAGAAAAUUUCCUCCGAUAUAUCGUGUGCCUUUUCCUUGCAGGAUGGAGUCCUAACAGAAGGACUUGUUGAAGAGUUUACACACUGGCAAAGAAAUAAUCUACAAGUUGUGCAAAACCUAUGAGAAAUUUUUACUUCAACAAAACCACGUUAGACCAGUCCAAUUUGAGUGUAAUGGAAAGGACAACAGGCCAUAUACAUAUAGACCUUGAGAAAUCUAAGCUUUUACAUUAAAAGAUACUCAGAAGUAUGGAUAAUUUCACCAGUAUUUGAAAUUUUCGGUCCUGGAUCAAUUCAGAGCAUGAAGUUCUCACUUAUUCCUCCUCAGAAGCCAUCCCAAGCAAGAACACCCUGAGAUACUGAUUAUGUCUGGGAAUUUCCAUGAAAAUUUUGUAUUGGAAAACCCCAAACAGGCAAAAAAGUUUGGAGGGAACAAUGUGAUUUUCAUGAGGCUUCUCAAUUGAAAAAAAGGUGAUAAAGACAUUUCAAAAUUAUUUCAAGUGUCCCAAUAUUUUUCUAAAUGAACAUUUAUUUGCUUUGAAAUAUGUUUUGGUUUUAAUUUUUAAUUUAUAAGUGAAAGCAAAAAAUGAAAUAUUUUUAAAUGACUGACGCAAAUGAUUCAGUCUGAUUUUUUUUUUUUAGUAGCUUAUUGGUUAGCCAGAGAAUUAGUUGAAAAAAAAUGAAAUCUUGAGAACUCCCAAAGGACACAAAAAGGCACUUCCCUGCCAGCUAUAAAAUCAGAGAAAAAUAUAAUGACAUUUUCAUUUAGCACAAGGAUUUAGUAAAAUACCCUCAUUUUCAGGGAAGUAGCAGAGACUUAAGCUUGGACACACUUGGGGUUUCUUUCCAAGUGUGAUGCUUACACAUGGUAACUGAUCAUGUUUUUACUAGACCUGGUCAUGUACACUCUUAAAUAAAUAACUGGAGGUAUUCCAGCCUCUACACGGGU